CAGUAGCCGCGGGAACACCAGCAGCCCAAGUGGUGGUCGCGUUUAUUGGGCCUAAAGCGCUCGUAGCCUGACCGGUAAGUUCCCCGUGAAAUCGGGUCGCCCAACGAUUCGGCUUGCGGGGAAUACUGUCGGUCUUGGGGCCGGGAGACGCCGAGGGUACUCCGGGGGUAGCGGUGAAAUGCUGUAAUCCUCGGGGGACUACCAGUGGCGAAGGCGCUCGGCGAUAACGGGCCUGACGGUGAGGGGCGAAAGCUGGGGGCGCGAACGGGAUUAGAUACCCCGGUAGUCCCUGUCUCUUAUU
rnacentral:rRNA from 1 species